CCUAGAAUCACUUUUAGGGGGGCACCUAAUCUGAAAAGGAAAAUAACGAGUAGCCAUCUAAAAGGAAGAAAGCAAACAACUACAAUAAAAAAAGAACGGUUUCUUUUAUUGCCUGGAAUGUAUUGCAUGUAAGACAAGUAAGAACAUACAGACAAAAGGAGUAUUUGAAGUCAUAAAAAAUAAUCAUAAAAGAAAGAUGGAAUCGUGCAAAAUAAAAGAACACAUCACUUGUCAGAGUACCAAUGUGAUCUAUGUACUGGAGUGUCCGUGUGGACUCAAAUAUGUAGGAAGAACCAAGAGAAAGCUGUAUGUGAGAAUUAGAGAACAUAUGUUAAAACAUAAAAAAAGGUUAUAUGCAGCAUUUGGUUUUCGCUCACUUUAAACAGCAACACAACUCGGAUAUGAGCCUCCUGAAUUUCAAAGGGGUAUGUAAAGUUAAUAAGAAUUGGAGAGGUGGUGAUCCAAAUAAACAGUUGGGGAUUACUGAAAUGCAAUGGAUAUAUAAGCUGGAUACAUUACAACCUAAAGGAUUAAAUGCUGAAUUUGAGCUCUGUCACUUUCUUGGAUAAUUAAAUUUUUUUUUUUUUUCAUAUUUAAUUAUAGCAGGUAUAUGUU